rnacentral:rRNA from 1 species
GAUGAACGCUGGCGGCGUGCCUAAUACAUGCAAGUCGAGCGAACUGAUUAGAAGCUUGCUUCUAUGACGUUAGCGGCGGACGGGUGAGUAACACGUGAGCAACCUGCCUGUAAGACUGGGAUAACUUCGGGAAACCGAAGCUAAUACCGGAUAGGAUCUUCUCCUUCAUGGGAGAUGAUUGAAAGAUGGUUUCGGCUAUCACUUACAGAUGGGCCCGCGGUGCAUUAGCUAGUUGGUGAGGUAACGGCUCACCAAGGCAACGAUGCAUAGCCGACCUGAGAGGGUGAUCGGCCACACUGGGACUGAGACACGGCCCAGACUCCUACGGGAGGCAGCAGUAGGGAAUCUUCCGCAAUGGACGAAAGUCUGACGGAGCAACGCCGCGUGAGUGAUGAAGGUUUUCGGGUCGUAAAACUCUGUUGUUAGGGAAGAACAAGUACGAGAGUAACUGCUCGUACCUUGACGGUACCUAACCAGAAAGCCACGGCUAACUACGUGCCAGCAGCCGCCGUAAGAC